rnacentral:rRNA from 1 species
CCUACGAGUGGCAGCAGUGAGGAAUAUUGGUCAAUGGGCGCGAGCCUGAACCAGCCAAGUAGCGUGAAGGAUGACUGCCCUACGGGUUGUAAACUUCUUUUAUAAAGGAAUAAAGUGAGGCACGUGUGCCUUUUUGUAUGUACUUUAUGAAUAAGGAUCGGCUAACUCCGUGCCAGCAGCCGCGGUAAUACGGAGGAUCCGAGCGUUAUCCGGAUUUAUUGGGGUUAAAGGGAGCGUAGAUGGGUUGUUAAGUCAGUUGUGAAAGUUUGCGGCUCAACCGUAAAAUUGCAAUUGAUACUGGCAGUCUUGAGUACAUGUGAGGUAGGCGGAAUUCGUGGUGUAGCGGUGAAAUGCUUAGAUAUCACGAAGAACUCCGAUUGCGAAGGCAGCUUACUAAACUGCCACUGACAUUGAUGCUCGAAAGUGUGGGUAUCAAACAGGAUUAGAUACCCGAGUAGUC